rnacentral:rRNA from 1 species
UACGUAGGAUGCAAGCGUUUGACCGGAAUUAUUGGGCGUAAAGAGCGCGCAGGCGGUAUGACAAGUCAGAUGUGAAAGAGGCCGGCUUAACCGGCAAGGGUCAUUUGAAACUGUCAGACUAGAGUGCAGCGAGAGGAGUAAUUGGGAAUUCCCGGUGUAGUGGGUAGAAAUGCGUAGAUAUCGGGAGGAACGCCAGUGGCGAAGGCGACUAUCUGGGCUGCAACUGACGCUGAGGCGCGAAGGCUAGGGUAGCAAACAGG